GGCCCCGCCCAUAAUGAUUGUUACUGGUUUAAAGAAAUGCCAAUAAACCAGAACCCCAUUUUCCUUCCAUCCAGGAAUGUAUAUGUGGACUAACCACACCCUCUUCUGCAGCACAGCGGAGGAAGAUCUGGCAAUGCGAGACUA